GAUGAACGCUGGCGGCGUGCCUAAUACAUGCAAGUCGAGCGAACAGACGAGGAGCUUGCUCCUCUGACGUUAGCGGCGGACGGGUGAGUAACACGUGGAUAACCUACCUAUAAGGCUGGGAUAACUUCGGGAAACCGGAGCUAAUACCGGAUAAUAUAUUGAACCGCAUGGUUCAAUAGUGAAAGACGGUUUUGCCGUCACUUAUAGAUGGAUCCGCGCCGCAUUAGCUAGUUGGUAAGGUAACGGCUUACCAAGGCAACGAUGCGUAGCCGACCUGAGAGGGUGAUCGGCCACACUGGAACUGAGACACGGUCCAGACUCCUACGGGAGGCAGCAGUAGGGAAUCUUCCGCAAUGGGCGAAAGCCUGACGGAGCAACGCCGCGUGAGUGAUGAAGGUCUUCGGAUCGUAAAACUCUGUUAUUAGGGAAGAACAAAUGUGUAAGUAACUAUGCACGUCUUGACGGUACCUAAUCAGAAAGCCACGGCUAACUACGUG
rnacentral:rRNA from 1 species